rnacentral:rRNA from 1 species
CCUACGGGAGGCUGCAGUGGGGAAUAUUGCACAAUGGGGGAAACCCUGAUGCAGCGACGCCGCGUGAGUGAAGAAGUAUCUCGGUACGUAAAGCUCUAUCAGCAGGGAAGAAAAUGACGGUACCUGACUAAGAAGCCCCGGCUAACUACGUGCCAGCAGCCGCGGUAAUACGUAGGGGGCAAGCGUUAUCCGGAUUUACUGGGUGUAAAGGGAGCGUAGGCGGCAGCACAAGUCUGGAGUGAAAUCCCGGGGCUUAACCCCGGAACUGCUUUGGAAACUGUGCGGCUGGAGUUCAGGAGGGGUAAGCGGAAUGCCUAGUGUAGCGGUGAAAUGCGUAGAGAUUAGGAAGAACACCGGUGGAGAAGGCGGCUUACUAGACUGUAACUGACGUUGAGGCUCGAAAGCGUGGGGAGCAAACAGGAUUAGAUACCCGGGUAGUC